CUUACCAGGACGUGUGCCCGAGAACUUAGGGGUUACUUUGAUAGAGUAAACUACAGGGACCAAUAACCCCUCACCUCCU
rnacentral:tRNA from 1 species